AACUAUUUAGGUAGUGCCUCAAGUAUUACCGUCGGGGGUAGAGCACUGUUAUGGCUAGGGGGUCAUGGCGACUUACCAAACCAUUGCAAACUCCGAAUACCGAUGAGUACAGCUUGGGAGACAGUGCACCGGGUGCUAACGUCCGGACACAAGAGGGAAACAACCCAGACCGCCAGCUAAGGUCCCUAAAAUUGGCUAAGUGGGAAACGAAGUGGGAAGGCUAAAACAGUCAGGAUGUUGGCUUAGAAGCAGCCAUCAUUUAAAGAAAGCGUAAUAGCUCACUGAUCGAGUCGUCCUGCGCGGAAGAUGUAACGGGGCUAAGCCAGUUACCGAAGCUGCGGAUUCACAGUUUACUGUGAGUGGUAGGAGAGCGUUCUGUAAGCCUGCGAAGGUGGCUUGUAAAGGCUGCUGGAGGUAUCAGAAGUGCGAAUGCUGACAUGAGUAGCGUUAAAGGGGGUGAAAAGCCCCCUCGCCGAAAGCGCAAGGUUUCCUACGCAACGUUCAUCGGCGUAGGGUGAGUCGGCCCCUAAGGCGAGGCAGAGAUGCGUAGCUGAUGGGAAACAGGUUAAUAUUCCUGUACCGAUCUAUGGUGCGAUGUGGGGACGGAGAAGGUUAGCUCAGCCAACUGUUGGAAUAGUUGGUUCAAGCAUGUAGGCGUGCUCUUUAGGCAAAUCCGGAGAGCUUAGCUGAGGUGUGAUAACGAGGCUGCUUGCAGCCGAAGUGAGUGAUACCCUGCUUCCAGGAAAAGCCACUAAGCUUCAGCCAUAGAUUGACCGUACCGCAAACCGACACUGGUGCGCGAGAUGAGUAUUCUAAG
rnacentral:rRNA from 1 species